rnacentral:misc_RNA from 1 species
GGUAACCAAAAUAACCAGUUUUGCUUUAACAAUUUUCAAAGAACACAGAGAUAGCGAUAAGAAACAAACACACUGCCUAACCCACAUCUUUCUCUCUCAUAAUUUUCUUCUAUAAAAAUGAAUUUCUCUUCUCCUCCCACUAGUGCGUGCAGUUGUUUAUCAUGGAGGGCCUCUUCCAUCUCUUCUCUACACCUAGGUUUUCAGUUUAAUAAUUCUGUCGGAUUUUCCAUUUCUUCUCCUACCAGAAAAUUCUCUAGAACACCAAGAUUCAAAGU